rnacentral:lncRNA from 1 species
CUCAGAGCACACCUUUUGCCUGUUUGAAUUUACAGACACCUCGAAACAUGAAGAUGUAAUGGCUUCUAAGAGACGUAUCAAGGUGUUGGUUGCUUCUGUGCAGAUAUGGAACGUGGUUAAAGUUUUAUAAUGGAAAAUCUGACAGGCAGUUAACUAAUCCAUGAGUCAUAUUUCGUAAGUGCCUAAAGGUCUCUGAUGUUCGACCUUCAUUUGAUACCCUUGCCAUCAUGGAGUUAUACAUAACCCAUCUGAAGAACAUUCUUUAUAUAGAUGACUGCAUGCUGCCCUUUUAUACCUGCAAGAAUGAGCGCUGCACUUACUGAAACAGGGAAGUCUACUGCCUGCCUUUCCACCCCUCUCUCUCUGUGGCUGUUUACAGAACUGCAGAGGUACGUUGAACGAAACUGACUUAAAUGACAGCAGUGGAAGACUUUCUGCUUAGUUUAAGUCCUCUGUAGGGCCUAGCUGAAAGUGCUUUUCAGGCUGUCAACUUCCCCUUAUCCUCCUUGUUUCCUGAUUCCCUGAGCUUGUGUAGAAACUGAUGCUGCGGCAGGACAAGGUAAAGAACUGAAAAAUAAGUGAAGAAUUGUGACAGAAGAACUGGCAUUGCCCCAGGGACUCAUAUACUAAAACAUCUUGAAAAAAUCUUCUGAAAAACAGACCAGUUGUGAGUUGACAGUAUCCUUUUAAGAACAGUUUAUGUUGAAAGGUCCUAUGACCAAGUUUUGGCCAAGCACAAGUGUUAAUGAGUUUUUUGAAGUGAAAAGCAUUUAUAUAGACAAAAAUAGAUAGUACUGACAUGUCUCACAGUCAUUGUUUACAAUUUCUGUGUGAUCCCUUGUCCAGAUUUAUAAUGAACACUUGCUGUCCCAGCAGAACUUAAAACGUUUAUGGUUUUCUCUUUAAUGCUAUAAUUAAAAACAGGAUGAUUUUCAUGGGACUAGAAUAAUCUGUAAUUCUUGUGAGAGCUCUAUCUUUUAAGCAGCCUUAUCUAAGGUAUAAUCCUCACUGACCUAAGCAUGCAGAGACAUUUUUUACACUUCCUUAUGUCUUCAUUGAGCAAUUAUACACCCUUAGGGUUAUUUCAACCUGAUAUCUUUAGAUAUCUAAUCUCUCACUAGUUCUUCACAUUUUGUGGAUGAAUGGAUGCUCCUUAUCGUGCAACAAAAAGACCAGUCUGGCGUCCCUAGGGCAGACCAUGCAUUACAGCAGAACUCAGAGAGGCGUAAUUAUAGAGGACAGGUAGAAAGUUAGCUCCUCGAAUGGGAAUUUCUUUGCACUGGAAUACUUACCUAUUUUGAUGUCUGAUGUUUAAUUAGCACUGUUCCUCUACAAAUACAUUUCUGCCAUGCGGAAACUUUUAACUUGCUUUUAAAAGUUUUGUUCUGAAAAUGGUUCAUGUAAGGUAUUUGAACCUGCUUUGUCUAGUAGUAUUAAUAACCUGGGGCAGACAGUGUUUAUAUGGUACCAAGCACCAUGAUGGCACUUAGUAAAUAAUGAAAUAAAUCACAGGCUUUGUUUCUGUUUAAACACUGUGCUUGACCUCUGUGGAUAUCUUCUGGAUCCUGCUCAACAGCCUCAUUUGGGUGCAACUGGAUAUUGUGCCAAUUUUAUUCCAGCUCCAUUAACGUAUGGCAACAAUACAGACAGUACAUCGCCUGACAAAGAACUCAUAGUCCUCCUCUGGAUUUAUGUAGCAAGAUUUUGGCAGUGGGGUGGCCUGCAAGAAGCCAGCAGCUGCCCCGUGUCAGAUCACAGCCCUUGUAGGAGCAGCCCAGGCCUGAGCUGCAGCCCAUGGAGAGCAGCCUGCAGAGGGGCAGGAGGGCUGAGGGAGCUGCCGCCUGUGGGGAACCGUGUGGAGCAGUGCCUGAAGGGUGGGCUCCAUGGUACGGAGCUGUGUUGGAACAGUGCUGGGAGAGCUGCAGCAUGUGGAAAGCCCAUGUGGGAUCAGACCAGGAAGGAUGCCAUCCCAUGGGACGGACCCACACAGAACAGAAGCAGAGAGUGAUCAUGGAAGAGCAGAAGACAUGAAGCUUUAUGGACUGACCGCAGCCCCCUUUCCCUAUUCCCCUGUGCUCGUUGAGGGAAGGAGGUAGGAGUUGAGCCUGAGAAGAGGUGGGUGGAGGAGAGGUGUUGUCAGUCUGUUUUUAUUUCUCAUUGCCCUAUUACUAAUAGGCCAUAAAUAAAAUAAAUCUUUCCCAAGUAGCCUAUUUUGCUUGUGACAGUAAUCACUGAGUGGUCUCCCUAUCUUUCUCUCAACCGAUGAGCUUUUCCAUUGUAUUUUCUCUUUCUGAAGAGAAGUGAGAGAGCAGCUUGGUGAGCACCUAGUGACCUGCCAAUGUUAUCCCACCACAAAAACAAUAAAAUCCUAAGUCCUUGAGCCUGCACUAAGAAUACAGUCAUAGAAUCUCAAGGUUGGAAAGGACCUACAAGAUCAUCUAGUUCAACUGUCCUCCCAUUACCCUUGCUACCACAAGCCACUAAACCGUAUCUCUUAGCUCCUCAUCCAGACACCUCUUGAACACCACCAGGGAUAGUGACUCCACCACCUCCCUGAGCAGGCCAUUGCAGUGCCUGACCACUCUCUGAGAGAAAAAGUUUUUCCUUGUGUCUAAUAUCCACCAGGACUCCUAAUUUGUGUACAAGUAGAUGAGUAAAGUAGAAAAGGAAAGUGAUGAAUGCAUCUAAAGCAACAAUUACAGCACAGAGGAACCAUUGUGUCCAAACUCACUGCCCUGCUCCAGGCUUUGAGAUGUAUUCUGAAAAUACAGUUAUUCUACCGGUGAUGGAUGGGGUACCCAAGCACAUGAAAGCCAAUGUAGAAUUGAUGGUGUGAAGAAAACUCAUGUUAGUUAACUGUUUUAAAGUACAGAGUGGAGAGAAAUUGGAAGGAUAAGUGUUAACUGCACUGUACAAUGUUGGCCUUCCAGACCCACCUGCAGGUGCAGAAGCAGAGGGUGGACGUGCUGUAGAGAGGAACUGUGGGCUUUCCUUAGAACAGCCUGAGAGCAUUUCAGUAACCCCAGCGCUUAUGAUACGUCCCAGGGAAAUCAUACUGCAGCUGACUGCCUAGGUCACAUAUGUUUUUAAUAGAAACAUUGAAAAUUGUUUCAAGAUUGAGGCGUGUACAUGUUAAACGUUGAGGAGCUGAAGAACACAUAGAACUGUACUAAAUUGGUUUCUCAUACAGGCUGACAAAACACUCGGGAUGCAUCCUAAUCCCAAGUGCUCCCAUAAAAGCCUGCGUAUCCUUGUCCUCUCCAACCACCAAAUCAAUCUUAAACUUUUAGGCGAGGUUGCUGAACUUGCAGUCUGAUUUAAUCACUUUUCCGUCAGGAAUUGGCAAAGCUGAGAAAUAGUCUGUGGCUAACUUCAGCGUGUUUUAUAUGUUUGUGAUAUCUGUACUUUUCUAUUUUCAACGUAUAACUAAUAAAAAAAAUAAUCCCCAUUAUGCAUUUGUUAUGGAAUAAUAAUACUUACAGGAAUCAAAAGAUUACUACUAUAUGUCUUCUUUACUGCAGAAGGAGUUACAAUGAGGAGCCCUGAGGUGGCCCAGAGGGCAGGAAAGGACAACAUUCAAAACUCCAGCAACCAGUGAAAGAGGAAUUAAGGUAUUACUCACCGAAGCCUCUACAAAACCAGGCUUAAAUGCAGUUGGAAGCCUUUGCCAACUCUGGAACUCAAAUUAAAGUCUGCUAUCCCAGAAGCAAUAGCAGCCAGAGGGAAUUGGGAAGGGAUCAAGGAAGAGUGGGGUGGGAGACAAAAUCUCAAAGACCACCAAGAUGAGAGGUAUUCACCACCUUAGGCAUUAUCACACGAAGGCUGCAUGCCCUGCGGAGCCUUGAUUGCCCAACAGAAGUUAAUAUGUUGAGCACAGGGUUUCUUGGUCAGUUAUGGAGGAGGCCAAGCUAGACAAUCUGAGUCUGAAUAGUUUACAACGUGGAGUUUGAGUUUGAGCACCCUGCUGCUUGCUCUGUGAUAGUAGCUAUAGCAGUACUGAGUGGUAAAUGAGUGAGUAACGCAAGCUGGCAGAGCUGAGGCUGCAGUAAGAGGCACAUGCAUAUCUCGAUGGUUCAGGCAUGCCCCAUGUCAGCCGUGAAUUCUGCAGUUUGUGUUAAUAAGUGGAGCAUGCAAGUUGUCUGCUUGCCAUAGGGUGAGUGGCAGCCAGGCAGCCUGCAAAAAUGGAUGUCGUGGGGGCACCGAAACAAGGAGCUGAACGUACUAUCUUGAAAGAAAUCUCUACAGAAAGAAAAAAGGGAGAUACCAUUCUGCAUGUCUGGGCUAGUGUGAAUUCAUCAGGCUUUGUGUUUGAAUGGGAGCCAGGUGUAGCGUACAAGUAACUCCUGUUUGCUCUGCUUGACCUAAAUCCAAGUUUUGCUUUGUCAGGUUUUGUCCGACAUGUGUUCUGUUUCCCUACUGCGUAGUAACAGCGCUAGAGGCUGGGUGUUAGCACUGGCAAUCUGAUGAUUCAGUCACUCAAGUAUGAAGGCCAUACUGUGGCAAUAGGGAGGAAGUGAGGACGUGUAACCUUACCAUGUGUUUUGUGGUGGUCGAAGGUUUCAGUUCAUGCUGAAAGAAUUCUUAUUUGUGAAAUUUCAAAAGGAUUAAAUGCAGACUGUCCUUGCAUUCUAGACGGCAGUCAGGCACCACAAGCAACCUGCAUCUCUGCCAACAAUGCAUUUGGGGAUAUAAUGCCUUGUUCAGUUAUUUAUAAAUAGGCAUUUUCCAGGAUCGACACCUACCAGAGCCCAGCCAUCCACCUCCACUGCCUCCCUUUCCUUGGCAGCCAUUCCUGCAGCAGAAAUGCAUGGGUGGCAAGAGUCCUCCAGCUGUCCUCAUCUUCAGUCUCACUGGUUUGGGGGUGUUGUGGUGGUAAGAGAAGCAUCUGCUAUUCGAGACCCUGUCUUAAACAGCCACAUUGCCAUGAAUAAGUUUCCAGUGCUAAUAGUCAGGAACUGUAGCAGAUAGGAAGACUGCCAGCUCUUGGAUACACACUUCUGUUUGGGUCACAAGAGGAAGUCACCCUCUUGUACAAUAUCUGUGCAAACACCAAAUCCUACUCACCUCUGAUGUUCACAACAAGUUUGAGCUAAGCAAAGCACUCUACCCAUGGACAAUGCUAAGAUGCUGGUCAUCUCAGAAGAAGAUCAAGCGAGCUUGAUGUUGAAGGGAGAGUGUGAUAUAAUUGAUUGUGAGAUAUGAUGAGAUAAAUCAGGCAAUUGAAAUUACUCUUGGGUCCCAAACAUGGGUUGUAAGAUUUUUCCAAGCAGUGAAGACAUUCAGCGCGCUGCACAUUUCAGAGAUUGAGGUUUGAAACCUAACUAAACAAAUAAUGAAAAUUAAAAAAUAAAAAUAAAACCAAUAAUGAAAUGGAACAUUGUUGUGGUUUAACUCUGUUGGGCAGCUCAGCACCACACAGCUGCUCACUCACUCUCCCCACGUAGGAUUGGGGAGAGAAUUGGAAAGGUAAGCAAAACAAGGAAUUCAUUUACAGUUUCCCAUUGGCAGGCGGGUGUUCAGCCACAUCAGGAAAGCAGGGCUGAUCACCUGUAACAGUUUCUUGGGAAGAUAAAUUCCAUUACUUUGAAUGUUCCAGCCAUCCUCCUUCUUUCCCCUGCUGUUUUGUUGCUAACCAUGAUGACAUAUGGUAUGGGACAUCCCUUUGGCUAAUCUGGGUUGGCUGUCCUGGCUGUGUGUCCUCCUGACUCCUUGUGUCUCCCCAGCUCCUCAUUGCAGAGCAGUGUAAGAAGUGGAGAUGUCCUUGGCUGUGUGUAGCACAGCUCAGCAACAACUGAAAUGUCGGUGUGUUAUCACUGCUACUCAUAGAAUUGUGGAAUGGCCUUGGGUUGAAAAGGACCUCAAAGAUCAUUGAGUUUCAACCCCCCUGCUAUGUGCAGGGUCACCAACCACCAGACCAGGCUGCCCAGAGCCACAUCCAGCCUGGCCUUGAAUGCCUCCAGGGAUGGGGCAUCCACAACCUCUCUCUAUUUUCAUUGCAGAUCCAAAACACGGCAUCAUACAAGCCUCUGCAAAGAAAAUUAACUCUAUCCCAGCCAAAAUAUGACAAAUAUAAAAUCUACAAACCAAAGAAAAAAGGUGGCGACACGUCACAGGGAAGGGAUAAAAGCAACACUUUUGGUCUGAUUAGGUGUAAAACACAUAAUGUUCCCAGUGUUUUUUCUCCAUUCCAAGUCAAGAAGUAUGAAGAGGAAAAUCUUAGUGUAUGCUCCCCUUUGUGCAUUGCACCACAUAGAUACGUGAAGGAAGCCAAGCUCACAUACCAUGUAGGUAUUGUAGUGACAUGCAGGUGUCACUACAGUGUGACAGUUAGAACUAUUGCCACUCCCAGAAGAACAAGGAAAUAUUCAUAAUGUGACCACGGAGAUGGGGGAAGAAGUGGCUGUAUCUUGACAACCCCAGAUCAAAUGUUAAUUCUAAGCAAAAGUUCAUUCUAUUAUAGGUUGUCAGGUGCCAAAUAACAGGCCAAAAACAUAUCUUGAAAGCCAGAGAAUAAUUGCCCAUGAUAUCUGGAUCAAUAUCUCAGUACACAGUGCUCCAGGCACAGAGGGUUACCAGCUCUACUGUGAGGGAACUAAGAGAAAAAAAAUUCAGUGCAUU